GACGAACGCUGGCGGCGUGCCUAAUACAUGCAAGUCGAGCGGAUGAAAGAGGAGCUUGCUCCUCUAGAUUCAGCGGCGGACGGGUGAGUAACACGUGGGCAACCUGCCCUGUAGAUUGGGAUAACUCCGGGAAACCGGGGCUAAUACCGAAUAAUCCUUCGGACCUCAUGGUCCGAUGUUGAAAGACGGUUUCGGCUGUCACUACAGGAGGGGCCCGCGGCGCAUUAGCUAGUUGGUGAGGUAACGGCUCACCAAGGCCACGAUGCGUAGCCGACCUGAGAGGGUGAUCGGCCACACUGGGACUGAGACGCGGCCCAGACUCCUACGGGAGGCAGCAGUAGGGAAUCUUCCACAAUGGACGAAAGUCUGAUGGAGCAACGCCGCGUGAGUGAAGAAGGUUCUCGGAUCGUAAAACUCUGUUGUGAGGGAAGAACAAGUACCGGAGUAACUGCCGGUGCCUUGACGGUACCUCAUUAGAAAGCCACGGCUAACUACGUGCCAGCCGCCGCAGUAAGAC
rnacentral:rRNA from 1 species